UGUACUUUGUUUAUCAUAUUAUUCUGCUCUGUAUGGUAUGUUACACUUUAUCAUUUGUUGUCUUAUUUGCUAUGCCUUGUUCUACCUCUUUGCCGUCUUUUUCAAACUGCCUUGUCUUGUGUUAUAUGAGCCGAGGGUAUUUCGGAAAAAACCUCUCUAUAUCCAUGAGGUAUGGUUAAGGUCCGUAUACACUCUACCCUCCCCCGAUGUCACUUGUGGGAAUACAUGAAGUAUGUUAUUGUUGGUGGUGGUUAACCCAACACCUAUUUUUCUGUUCUAAUGUCUCAGAGCUUUCUUAAUUUUCCGCUUAUCAAAAAGAAGCUUCCUUUACUUUUUAUGUUUUUUGCGCACGCGUAGAUUUACAGGAAAUAUUUGUAGGUCCAAAACAAAGUUGAAGUUGUGCUGACAGGAUGCCGUUGUUACUUUUUACUUAAUGAAUUGUUUCUCAUGCAUGUAUUUGCAAAUUCAUAGAUCUUGAUUCUAUCUUGUUUUCUUUAUGUCGAAUAACCUUUGUCUAUUUCUAAUUUCAACUGAUUUGACACAUUGGCCGUGUGUACACUUAAAACACAACACAUCUUUUAGUCUUAGUAGAUGCCUGAUGCAGCUCAUAUAUUCUUUUAUGUUUAGGAAGAAGAGCUUGGACUUGGACGCGAAGAUGGAAGACCAGAUCCUACUCAAGGUUGAAUGAGGGGAAGAGUUUUUGCAAAUAACGGACAGUAUGUUCUGCUUUUUAUGAAGAGAUAUCUUGCAUUUAUCGGAAUCAUUACAACGUUUAAGCCCUUUUAUUUUGUCAGAUACUUGGAUUGAGAUCGGAAGAUGCAAAUUGACGUUUUCUCAAAAUAAACUUGCAACUUCUUUAUAUUUGUUCUUUUGCUUCUAUGACGUUUAUUUCAAAAAACAGCCUCUCUACCUGACAAGGCAGUGGUAAAGUCUGUGUACACUCUACCCUCCUUAGACCGCACUCGUGGGACUAUUCUGGAUUUAUUGUUGUUAUUGUUAUUGUUGCUUCCGUGAUGUUUAUGUCUGCACCUCAUGCAACUACUACUACUUCAGGGGCAAACCAAAGAAGGGAAGAACAAAACCACUAGAUGGAAAGAAGUUCUGGAUAUCAAACGACUUGGAUCCCAUCGAUAAAAAUGAUCCAGAUUUAAACUUGAGAUAACUAUCUCUAACUUCAUUUCAAGAACUCUGUGAUCUGUAUCGUUGUCUGUUGUACCAUAAAACUGCAUCAUCACAUUGUUAAAUAAAAACGUAUAUAACUACGUAUGUAGUCGAUUAAUUUCGAACCUUA